GGUAGUGGCACCCUGCCCGUCCUCUCCCACCCCCACAGUCCGGGCCCACAGUCCAGGAGUCACAAGGGAUGUGAAUCCCCAGGCAUAAUGUGAACCCCCAACAAACCCAAGGCCUCAGAAUGCGCCUCACCUCUCCCUCCCCACCAGCAGAAACAUCCUCCCACUCUCCCAACCCCUGCUCCAGCCACGCCAACCCUUUAACCUUGUCCCAGAAUGUCUAAACUGUAUCUGCCUCUGUGCCUGUGCACAUGAAGUUGCCUUGGCCCGGCGUUUGCUCCACAGCCUUCUGCCAAACUCCUACUGCUUGAUGGCUGGAAGCCUUCGCACCCUGGCGCUCUCCUCCCAGGUCAGCAGUCACUGGCCUUCCUGUGCAUCCAGCCCAGCUUUGAACAGUCCUGGGCCCCAACCCUUAUCUUUUUCCGAGUAAUUACAUGGUUGCAUGAUUGGCUUCACCGCCUCUGGAUCAGAUGAGCGCUACUAAUGAAGGAUACAAGUUGUAAAACUAGGUUUUAUGUGAACUCCAGUCAUCACAGUUUAGGUGCGGCUAGCGAUUUUACAGAUGCGGGGUUAGUAACUGGCCCAAAUCCAGGGCUUCCGGGAUGCUGUUUUCCUUUUUUGUUUCUUAGCAGGGAUGGCAGAUGUUUGUAGAACAGAUCCGUGUAAAAGUCAGUAUCCUAAGAGAUUAAAUUGUAAAGCAGGACAAGAUAGUUAACGGUGUGUGUGUGUGUGUGUGUGUGUGUGUGUGUGUGUGUAUGUCUUUUCCAAAUUGAGAGGGAGGUAGAAGAAUUAGCCAAAACCCAGGAUUCACUCUGAGGUAGACCCACACCUCUUAGUUAGAUCCCAUUUAUUAAGCUGUAAUUAUUCACAGCGUUGCUGAAGAUAUACACAGGGCCCCUCCCAUCUCCCUGCGACUGACUGGUUCCAAGUAUGCUAUUAUAUGUGUUAUUAUCACUGUGGCUCAAUUAGAAGUGCUGCCGAAGGCCUUGAGGUUGCCACAGUCAAACUGCAGGUGCAGGCAGCGAGUAACAAUGAUUAUAAUGCCUGCAUCUGGAUCGCGCUUUUUGCUUUUCAGAAUGCUUUCAAAUGUGUCUCCUCAUUAAAUCUCUGCAAACAUCCUCCAGGUAGUUAGGAAAAGUUUAAUGAGUUUUGCCUGACAAGGGAAACCAAGACACAAAGAGGGCAGGUGACUUGCACAAGGAGAGAGAUGGCUCCCCCAGGCUGCUCCAAGGGUGGAGCUGGCCACUGUAACUCAAUGUCCUGCAGGAAGAGAUGGUUGGGUACAGUUAGGAGCUCAGGCUCUAGUGCCAAAGUGCCCAAUUUGCAACUUUCAGCUGAUUACUCAUACUUGGUUUCCUUUUCUGUUGAAUAGAUCUAAUAAUAGGAGCUUAUCUUGUAUGGUUUUGUGCCUGGUAUUUGAGCACCCAACUCAGGCGAGCUGUUAUGUUAUGGUUCUGGGAAUGGUAUGAUUGCUACAGUUUCUGCCAUACAGCUAUUCAGUCUUUCGUCAAACAUUCCUGAGUAUCUACUAUGUGCUAGUCUCUGGGAAUAUGAAGAAGAAUGAGGCAUAGACUACUACCUCCAAGGAGGUCAGGGUGUAAUAAUUCUGUGUCAGGGGACCAUGGUGCACAGAGAUGAACUGUCCCUCCUGCUGCCGGUGCAGUGCAGAGCACCAGUUCAGAGCAGUGGAGAUAUUCACUUUCCAGGCCCAGCUUUGCUACUUAUUUAGCUGAGUGAAUCUUACACUGUAAGAUUCUGUUACACAUACAGUGUGCACAUACAGUCUAAUCUUACACUGAAUGUGACCUCUUACAACAUUGGUUUUUCUCAUCUGUUAGAUGGGGAUAGCAAUAAUUUUUCAUAGGUGAAAACACAUGUGAUAAACAUAUUUUAUAAAGUACAAAAUACUGUGCAGAUAGUUUUGUUAUUAUCAAUGUGAUUGUUAUUAUCUUGGGCUUUACAGGGCUUGCUGCUUUUCAGAAUACUCUCCCAUUCCAUUGCUUUUCUUAGAGUCUCGCUCUGU
rnacentral:lncRNA from 1 species